rnacentral:rRNA from 1 species
GAUGAACGCUGGCGGCGUGCCUAAUACAUGCAAGUCGAGCGAACGGACGAGAAGCUUGCUUCUCUGAUGUUAGCGGCGGACGGGUGAGUAACACGUGGAUAACCUACCUAUAAGACUGGGAUAACUUCGGGAAACCGUAGCUAAUACCGGAUAAUAUUUUGAACCGCAUGGUUCAAAAGUGGAAGACGGUCUUGCUGUCACUUAUAGAUGGAUCCGCGCUGCAUUAGCUAGUUGGUAAGGUAACGGCUUACCAAGGCAACGAUGCAUAGCCGACCUGAGAGGGUGAUCGGCCACACUGGAACUGAGACACGGUCCAGACUCCUACGGGAGGCAGCAGUAGGGAAUCUUCCGCAAUGGGCGGAAGCCUGACGGAGCAACGCCGCGUGAGUGAUGAAGGUCUUCGGAUCGUAAAACUCUGUUAUUAGGGAAGAACAUAUGUGUAAGUAACUGUGCACAUCUUGACGGUACCUAAUCAGAAAGCCACGGCUAACUACGUG